GAACAAUCUUUCCGGCGCAUGUCCCAAAGCCAACAGUGUAACCGUCUCCCUUGCAUUGACCAGUAAAGACGACUUCAUCUCCAUCUUCCAGAAAUUUACGAUGAAUGCCAGUGCACAACUCCAAUGGAUUUUGGCCAUUCCAUGUUAGCUCUAGCAAGCAGCCAAGAGAUUCUGGUUCAGGUCCACUUAUGGUGCCGGUGCCCAACAGAUCACCUGGCUGCAAGUUGCAGCCAUUGACCGUAUGGUGUGCAAGCUGUUGAGGCAGCGUCCAAUAUAAAUGCUUAAAAUUACUUCUUGUCACCACAUAUGCAUCUUGUUCGCCAGCAG
rnacentral:misc_RNA from 1 species